GUGGGAGACUGUGAAGCUCAUGCGCUAGUGUGGGUGGAGUCGUUGUUGAAAUACCACUCUGAUGAAAUUGGACUUCUAACCUCGGACCAUGAUCUGGUUUAGGGACAGUGCCUGGUGGGUAGUUUAACUGGGGCGGUUGCCUCCCAAAGAGUAACGGAGGCGCCCAAAGGUUCCCUCAGCCUGGUUGGCAAUCAGGUGUUGAGUGUAAGUGCACAAGGGAGCUUGACUGUGAGACUGACAAGUCGAACAGGGACGAAAGUCGGGACUAGUGAUCCGGCACCGGCUUGUGG
rnacentral:rRNA from 1 species